CGGCAGUGGCCGCGUGUAGGUUUGGGAGCCGUUCCCCUCGCCCUGAAGGCACCGUGUCAGCCUGCCGGCUCGGCCACGGCCACCCACUCCACCCGCGGCACCGGAGCCUGGGCCACGGGCUCUACUCUACCACACCUCCAGGCCACGGCGGCCACGGCACCAGGCACCACUGGAGCAGGCAGAGCGAAAAAUUUGUUUUACAUGUAAAAAACCCUUCGCAUCGUAGGAGACGUUGGAACUUUCAGCACUCGGCUGCGGUGUCACCUGGCGUUUGCUCUGGAAUCCCAGUCCCUCCAAAUCACUAAGUCUUCCGUGUUCCUACCGUUUGUACGUUUGUGCUAGAAAGUGAAAAAUCUGUAGUGAUGUACAAUGGAACAGACUCCAGAGAAUGAAGGAAAUUCUCUCGUUUUACACUUGCAAAAGACAAAAGGAAAACGCAUUUGUGGGCUUUUGUGCAUCUGACACCCCAGGGAGCGAGCAGAAAGCAGGCCACCCGCCUCCGAGCACUACACCUGUGACACCUGUGACAACAGCUUCUGGAAACAGAAAUACAGAUCACCAACCCGAGGAUGAUGUUGGGGCGCGGUGACUCAAGACCUGAAAAACAAAACAUUCGUGCAGAGCUCAGAAUUUAACGUCGGCCUUUGUUCUCCAGACAUAAACCCCGUCAAGGGCAGUGAUGGGGCACGUUUCAAUAGGAAGGAGGAAGAAACUCGCUGGCAAAACACAAUCGAGUGUUGGAACAGCUUAUUGCAAACAAAAGACCCUGGGGCACACCGUCGCCUCCGCCGUCCAGCCCCCACGUCACAGCCACAGAACCCGGGGCCCAGUUCAUGAGUCAAGUCAUCCCAAUGAGCAGAGCCUACGUUACAGAUUUAAAGAUCAGACGUAAUUAAAGCAAUGGCAUGACGGAGGAGGCCGGCGAGGCCAGCGUGCAGACGUCAGCAUCUGCUGACCUAUAAGAGACGAAGCAUGUACGCACCAGAAUUUUUUUUUUUUUUUUUAAACAAAAUCUUAGCUUUGUUCUUUUACUUGCCUCUCACUACCCAUCAGAAAGGUAACAGCCCUUCCUGGAACUCACGCACCGCGCUACGUAAUCCAAGCUACACGUACGAAUACCGACGGUUCCAUCAGGGAGCAGUUCCACGGCUUGUUUGCAACGAUCCCCUCAGCACGUGCCAUUAGGGAAGGUCACCCAGCUGCUGGCGUCAGUCAAUGGGAAAGACCAAGCUGACUGAAAGGGCUAUGAUAAACACCCUUGUAGGGUUAGAAGGGAAUUCUGUUAACAUCCGCAAGGGCCAAGUCCUGCUCAGUCUCUGUGAACACGGGACAGGGUGCUUAAAGACAAGGGCGGGGUGUUCCGUGAAGAGCAGGCCGCAUGGAAAAGUUCCUGGGCACAGGAUGGUUCUUAAAAAUACCCAUUUCUUAAAUAAAAAAGGCUUACUCCAUCCU